GACGAACGCUGGCGGCGUGCUUAACACAUGCAAGUCGAGCGGAAAGGCCCUUCGGGGUACUCGAGCGGCGAACGGGUGAGUAACACGUGAGCAACCUGCCCUGGACUUUGGGAUAACCCUCGGAAACGGGGGCUAAUACCGGAUAUGACUGCUGGCCGCAUGGUUGGUGGGUGGAAAGUUUUUCGGUCUGGGAUGGGCUCGCGGCCUAUCAGCUUGUUGGUGGGGUAAUGGCCUACCAGGGGCGAGGACGGGUAGCCGGCCUGAGAGGGCGACCGGCCACACUGGGACUGAGACACGGCCCAGACUCCUACGGGAGGCAGCAGUGGGGAAUAUUGGACAAUGGGGGAAACCCUGAUCCAGCGACGCCGCGUGUGUGAAGAAGGCCUGC
rnacentral:rRNA from 1 species